rnacentral:rRNA from 1 species
AGCACCACAACGGGUGGAGCUUGCGGUUUAAUUGGAUUCAACGCCGGAAAUCUUACCGGGACCGACAGCAAUAUGAAGGCCAGGCUGAAGACUUUGCCGGAUUAGCUGAGAGGUGGUGCAUGGCCGUCGUCAGUUCGUACUGUGAAGCAUCCUGUUAAGUCAGGCAACGAGCGAGACCCACGCCAACAGUUGCCAGCUCGUCCUCCGGGAUGGUGGGGACACUGUUGGGACCGCCUCUGCUAAAGAGGAGAAGGAAUGGGCAACGGUAGGUCAGCAUGCCCCGAAUUAUCUGGGCUACACGCGGGCUACAAUGGGUGGGACAAUGGGUAUCGACACCGAAAGGUGAAGGCAAUCUCCUAAACCCAUCCGUAGUUCGGAUUGUGGGCUGCAACUCGCCCACAUGAAGCUGGAAUCUGUAGUAAUCGUGUCUCAAAAUGGCACGGUGAAUAUGUCCCUGCUCCUU